rfam:Aspergillus terreus NIH2624 scaffold_8 genomic scaffold, whole genome shotgun sequence.
GGGGAUAUGGUCUAGUGGUAUGACGUUCCAUUUGCAUUGGAAAGGUGCUGGGUUCGAUUCCCAGUUUCUCCA